rnacentral:rRNA from 1 species
AUAGUGAACCAGUACCGUGAGGGAAAGGCGAAAAGAACCCCGGCGAGGGGAGUGAAAAAGAACCUGAAACCGUGUACGUACAAGCAGUGGGAGCACGCUUAGGCGUGUGACUGCGUACCUUUUGUAUAAUGGGUCAGCGACUUAUAUUCUGUAGCAAGGUUAACCGAAUAGGGGAGCCGAAGGGAAACCGAGUCUUAACUGGGCGUUAAGUUGCAGGGUAUAGACCCGAAACCCGGUGAUCUAGCCAUGGGCAGGUUGAAGGUUGGGUAACACUAACUGGAGGACCGAACCGACUAAUGUUGAAAAAUUAGCGGAUGACUUGUGGCUGGGGGUGAAAGGCCAAUCAAACCGGGAGAUAGCUGGUUCUCCCCGAAAGCUAUUUAGGUAGCGCCUCGUGAAUUCAUCUCCGGGGGUAGAGCACUGUUUCGGCAAGGGGGUCAUCCCGACUUACCAACCCGAUGCAAACUGCGAAUACCGGAGAAUGUUAUCACGGGAGACACACGGCGGGUGCUAACGUCCGUCGUGAAGAGGGAAACAACCCAGACCGCCAGCUAAGGUCCCAAAGUCAUGGUUAAGUGGGAAACGAUGUGGGAAGGCCCAGACAGCCAGGAUGUUGGCUUAGAAGCAGCCAUCAUUUAAAGAAAGCGUAAUAGCUCACUGGUCGAGUCGGCCUGCGCGGAAGAUGUAACGGGGCUAAACCAUGCACCGAAGCUGCGGCAGCGACACUAUGUGUUGUUGGGUAGGGGAGCGUUCUGUAAGCCUGUGAAGGUGUGCUGUGAGGCAUGCUGGAGGUAUCAGAAGUGCGAAUGCUGACAUAAGUAACGAUAAAGCGGGUGAAAAGCCCGCUCGCCGGAAGACCAAGGGUUCCUGUCCAACGUUAAUCGGGGCAGGGUGAGUCGACCCCUAAGGCGAGGCCGAAAGGCGUAGUCGAUGGGAAACAGGUUAAUAUUCCUGUACUUGGUGUUACUGCGAAGGGGGGACGGAGAAGGCUAUGUUGGCCGGGCGACGGUUGUCCCGGUUUAAGCGUGUAGGCUGGUUUUCUAGGCAAAUCCGGAAAAUCAAGGCUGAGGCGUGAUGACGAGGCACUACGGUGCUGAAGCAACAAAUGCCCUGCUUCCAGGAAAAGCCUCUAAGCAUCAGGUAACAUCAAAUCGUACCCCAAACCGACACAGGUGGUCAGGUAGAGAAUACCAAGGCGCUUGAGAGAACUCGGGUGAAGGAACUAGGCAAAAUGGUGCCGUAACUUCGGGAGAAGGCACGCUGAUAUGUAGGUGAAGUCCCUCGCGGAUGGAGCUGAAAUCAGUCGAAGAUACCAGCUGGCUGCAACUGUUUAUUAAAAACACAGCACUGUGCAAACACGAAAGUGGACGUAUACGGUGUGACGCCUGCCCGGUGCCGGAAGGUUAAUUGAUGGGGUUAGCCGCAAGGCGAAGCUCUUGAUCGAAGCCCCGGUAAACGGCGGCCGUAACUAUAACGGUCCUAAGGUAGCGAAAUUCCUUGUCGGGUAAGUUCCGACCUGCACGAAUGGCGUAAUGAUGGCCAGGCUGUCUCCACCCGAGACUCAGUGAAAUUGAACUCGCUGUGAAGAUGCAGUGUACCCGCGGCAAGACGGAAAGACCCCGUGAACCUUUACUAUAGCUUGACACUGAACAUUGAGCCUUGAUGUGUAGGAUAGGUGGGAGGCUUUGAAGUGUGGACGCCAGUCUGCAUGGAGCCGACCUUGAAAUACCACCCUUUAAUGUUUGAUGUUCUAACGUUGACCCGUAAUCCGGGUUGCGGACAGUGUCUGGUGGGUAGUUUGACUGGGGCGGUCUCCUCCUAAAGAGUAACGGAGGAGCACGAAGGUUGGCUAAUCCUGGUCGGACAUCAGGAGGUUAGUGCAAUGGCAUAAGCCAGCUUGACUGCGAGCGUGACGGCGCGAGCAGGUGCGAAAGCAGGUCAUAGUGAUCCGGUGGUUCUGAAUGGAAGGGCCAUCGCUCAACGGAUAAAAGGUACUCCGGGGAUAACAGGCUGAUACCGCCCAAGAGUUCAUAUCGACGGCGGUGUUUGGCACCUCGAUGUCGGCUCAUCACAUCCUGGGGCUGAAGUAGGUCCCAAGGGUAUGGCUGUUCGCCAUUUAAAGUGGUACGCGAGCUGGGUUUAGAACGUCGUGAGACAGUUCGGUCCCUAUCUGCCGUGGGCGCUGGAGAACUGAGGGGGGCUGCUCCUAGUACGAGAGGACCGGAGUGGACGCAUCACUGGUGUUCGGGUUGUCAUGCCAAUGGCACUGCCCGGUAGCUAAAUGCGGAAGAGAUAAGUGCUGAAAGCAUCUAAGCACGAAACUUGCCCCGAGAUGAGUUCUCCCUGACUCCUUGAGAGUCCUGAAGGAACGUUGAAGACGACGACGUUGAUAGGCCGGGUGUGUAAGCGCAGCGAUGCGUUGAGCUAACCGGUACUAAUGAACCGUGAGGCUUAACCUU